CUCUCUCUCUCAAAUCUCAAUUGCAUUGCUUCGAUAUUUGCUCUGUUAUUCUUCUUCUUAACGCUUCUCUGAUAUAUAUUGUUGUAUUUUUUUGUCUUUUGCUGAUGAGUUUUGGAAUCGAAAUUUUGAUCUGAUCAUCGCUUCUACCCUUCUGAAUUCUCCCCUAGGGUGUUUUGAUAUCGAAUUUAUGAUGAUCCGAUCAUCAUCAUCAUCGCUCCUCCUACGGUUUAUGGAGGAUAUUAAAACGCUCUGAUCGGUGAUUUACUUUGAUUGGUCGUUUGUCAAGCGUUCCGUCUUCUCUUUUUUUUUUUGUUGUUGUU